rnacentral:lncRNA from 1 species
AAACCGUAGAUAAAAGUCAACGCCACAUAUUUUUCUAAGUCAUGAACUCAUUCUUCUCCUCUCGAUUUGUUUUCUCUGUCAAAGAUAAGUAAACAGCAAAACCCUAAAAUCCAUGAUAUUGCACAUUCUAAUCAAACCCCAUCGUCAAUCCCAACCAAGGCCGAAGCAAAGCAAUUUGUUUCUAUCAUGAUUUGGUUCUCUUUCCUCUGGAUUCAUCUUCUCUAUCAAAGUCAAGUAAACAGCAAAACUCUGAAAUCCAUGAUAUUGCACAUUCUAAUCAAACCCCAUUGUCAAUCCCAACCAAGGCCGAAGCAAUGCAAUACAUCUCUAUAACAAUUUGGUUCUCUCUCUCCCUUUCGAUCCAUUCGUUUCUAAAGGUACCAUUUUUUUCUUCUUAAUAAUUAAUUUUGUAAUUUAUAGUUUAUAUUUUGCUCAUACAUGUUGUUUUAUUGCGCUUUAACUAUAGAAUGGGCGUUAAAAUUCUUAAUUCUUUCAGUAAACUUGAUUGUUUGUAACUGCCUGACACUUUCUGUCAUUUCAUUCUAUGGAGUUUUGUUAGUAAUGCUUAUGAUUUUAUCAUCACAUUCAAAAAAUUGCAAAUUUAGAGAAUGAAUUUAAUUAUGCCAUGUAGUUUAGGAGACUUAUUAGAUAUUUCACACCAUUAAUUAAUUUCAUAUGCACUUUCAUUGGAUUUGAUGGAUUAUAAUGUCAAUGUAAAUGCAACAAAUAAGACGUGAAUAAUUGAACAUUGAUUAUUGACUAUGGCAGGCAGCUUGUCUUUUAUUUUUUUGGUUGCAUGAUCUUUAAAUUAAUAAUUUUUUUUUGAAAGGGAACUUUUGUUUCCUAUAUAGGAAACUUUUGUUUGGUUUUUAAUAUGACAUUAUUGACUUUCGACCAAAAUAUUUAGUUUGUUAUUACUUUUUGUUGAAUCUUGCAUUUUUCUUUUCUAAUCACCUAAAUCAAUAUGUUCAGUUCUAUCUCUCGCUUCUGAAUAAUCACAAAAGUAUUGGGUAUAAAAGUUGUUUUCAUCUGGUAAGUCUUACAAAUCACUCACUUUUUUUUUGUUUCUAUUAUUGUUGUGUUCUGAGUUUUACUUGUAUUAACAUUUUUUAAUUAUUUACAUGCACGAUUUUUGUUUUGUUUUUGUUGCAUAGGUUAUUUUGGAAUUAAAUUGAUUGUUUUUUGAUAUACAUAUACUUAUGUUUAUUCUAAUAUGAAAGUGAAGUUUUGAAAAAUGUGUAUGGCAUGUUUUGUUGACUUGUUGAUGUGAACAUGUAUUUAAGUGACUUUAAGCAACAAAACUUUGCUUUGUUUUGUAAUUUGUAUUUUUGUUUUAAACCUAAAAGUUUGAAGUUAUUUGUGCAAAUUUAAUUAAACUUAUUAGGCUAACAAUAUCUAAUAAAUCAACAGGCCAAAAUACAUGUUAUAGACAAAACUUGGAUAUUCUGUGAUUGAUUGUCCGAUGAGUAUUAUGAUGGGGUUGAUGAAUUCUUGAGGAGUUUGCCAUUAUUAAUUUUGAAAAUAGAAUGUCGAUUAGAUGCCCAUGUACCUCUUGUUGUAAUAUGAAGUUUUUGACCCCUGAACAAGUGAGGCUACAUCUAUUUAAAAAAUGUUUUUUAAAAAUUUAUUUAGCUUGGAAUUGACAUGGUGAGGUAGACCCAAAACCUACCUUUGCAAAGUGCCAAGACCAGUAAAAGAUUCAGCAUUUUAAAUGUCCGAAUUACAGUAAUUUGGGUGACAUGGUUCAUGAUGAUUUCAAGCACUGUGACAAAGAUCCUAGUUCCUUUAAGAAUAUGCUUGAAGAUGUUGAAAAAACCUUAUAUCUGGGUUCAAAGCAUUCAAAGCUAUCGGGUUUAAUGAAAUUGUACAAUAUAAAAGGACUUUAUGGCUGGCCUGACAGUGGGUUUUCAGCUUUAUUAGAAGUCUUCAAUGAGAUAUUGCCAAAUGAUAAUAAUAAGUCUAAGUCAGUGUAUGUGGCCAAAAAAACAAUGAAGAUAUUAGUCUUAGAGUAUGAGAAAAUACAUGCAUGUCCAAAUGAUUGCAUUUUUUUAUAAGAAUGAGUUCAAAAAUCUUAUUGAAUGCCCAAGCUAUGGAGCAUCUAGGUGGCAAAUAAGAAAAGAUGGAUCUAAACAAAUUAAAAAAAUGGAUGCCUAAAAAGAUAUUAUGGUAUUUUCCAAUAAUUCUUAAAUCCAAAAGAAUGUUUCAAUUACCAAAAACUGUUGAGAACUUAACAUUGCAUGAAAAUAAAAGAACUAGAGAUGGCAAGCUUUGCCACUCGGCAGAUUCACUGGCUUGGCAGCUAAUUGACAAUAAAUGGCCUGAUUUUCCCCAAGAGCCGAGAAAUCUUCAAUUGACUUUAUCAUCUAAUGGGAUUAAUCCAUAUAGCACACUUAACAUGACUUAUAGUUGUUGGCUUGUUACAUUGAUAACAUAUAAUCUUUCUCUAUUGUUGUGUAUGAAGAGAAAGUUUAUGAUGUUAUCUGUACUGAUAUAUGUGUUAGCAUUUAUGUAUUCACAAUGUUGAUUUUGAUGAUAACAAACAAAAUUAAGAAUGAUUAAGUUUUUAAAAGCUCAAAUUAUUUUUUUACACAUUUUAAAUAAAUCAUUUUUUUCACAUUAUAAAUGUUUUAUAUUUAAUGAAAAAAUGAUUUUAUAAAAUUGGUUGUUUUUCUAGUUUAUGGUCUAAUUGAAAGAAUUUUGAGAACUUUGAAAUUAACAAGUAUUGCUUAGAAUUCUAGAGAAGGACUUAUGUGAAAAGUUUCAUAUUGUUUUACGCCACAAUAUAAUUUUAUAAAGUUUUGGGGUAAAAAUAUAAUUAUGGAAAAUAGUUCACCGUAGCAUUCACUGUAGCAAACGACUAACCGACAUCUUGAUAACUGCACUAACGGCGAUCCGAUAUCUUGAAAACGGCGAUCCGACAAUUUGAAAUUAUGUCCAACGAUAACUUGGACCAGUCAAAACGGCAAUCCGAAUUUGAGUUAAUGGCGAUCCGACUUCAAGCAAAAAGUCAAUAACGGCUAGUUUUCAGCUUUAACUAUAAAUAAGCUCAAUCAAAUUCAAAUAAGUGUGAAUCACAAUAUUAUCAUUGAGCUUGUAAUCGAGAAUACAACAUUCAUUGAGUUUUAAAUUCAUUCUUGAUUCAUUUAUUCACAUAUUGAGCAUACAUUUGUAAUCAAACACAUUGUGUGAGAGAAAAUUCAUUUAUAAUCUUUAUCAUUGAGUGGUCGUAAGUGUUAGGAUACACUUGGGUUAAGAGAUUGAGGAUAAUCUCUUGUUGUAAAGGUCCAUUGACACCUUGGAAGUCAAUUGUAAGCGCUUGAAGCCUUGAGAGGCUUGGAUAGUGAAAUCCUCAAUCUCGGUGUGCUUGGAGGCGUGGACGUAGGCAGGGAUUGCCGAACCACGUAAAAAUCCUUGUGUUUGUUUUUUCUUCCCUUACUCUUUUAUUAGUGUGCUUGAUUGAAUUUAUCAUUUUUUAUUCCAUUAUCUUUUAUUAGUGUGCUUGAUUGAAUUUAUUGUUUUUGAUUCCAUUAAGGCAUUAGAUUGAAUUGUUGUGUGGCUUAUUUUGCAUAAGUUUUAAUAUCCUAAUUCACCCCCCUCUUGGGUUGCCUAGUUAGUAUUUCAAUCUGGCCCUAAACAACCUAGAAAUAAUAUAGAUGUAUACCUAGUGCCUCUGGUUGAGGACUUGAAAACCCUAUGCGAUAUUGGAGUUGAUGUGUUCGAUGUAUAUAGGAAAGAAAAUUUUAAUUCACAGACUGUGUUGAUGUGGGCAAUUAGUUACUUCCCAGCAUAUAGGAACCUGUCUGAGUGUACUUUUAAGGGAUACUAUGGUUAUCUAAUUUGUGGGAUAAACAUAUGUGUAUGUUGGCUGCCGUAUAGUCGAAAAAUGUUAUAUAUAAGCCAUAGACAGUUUUUUAAGAACCCUUUUAAACCUUUGUCUAGUGCAGAGAUCUUAAAUUUAGUGAUUGAUAUUGACACCAAGUUUGGGAAAAAAAUCCAAAAAAAGUGAAAACAUGAUGAGGGUGAGGAUAAGGGUGAGGGUAACGGUAAGGGGAAGGGUGAUGGUGAGGGUGAAGGUAAGGGUAAUGGUGAGAGUGAAGGCAAGGGUGAUGGUGAAGGUGAAUGUCAGAGUAAAGGUGAUGGUGAGGAUGAGGAUGAGGGUGAUAGUAAGUGUAAUGGGGAUUUAGCUUGGUUGUUGUACAAAAAGAUAACACUUGUUAGUUCGCCAUCAACUAGAUGUGAUGCACAUUACGAAAAAUAUGUGUGAGAGCAAAUAUGGCACAUUACUCCAUUAAUUUGGGAAAACAAAAGAUUGAAUUAAUGCUAGAAAAGAUCUUACCCGUCCAAAGUUUAGAGAGAAAAUAAAUAAAGCAUUUAUUGCAUUAGCUCCUAAUGAACAAAGUAAAGUCUUACCAAUUGUCCCAUGCACUUUAAGUAAGAAAGAGAAAAAAAAUGUUCUGUGAAACCUUACGAGAUGUUAAAGUUCUUGAUGGUUAUUGUUCUAACUUUAGAAAUCAUGUUUCAAUGGAUGAUUGUCAUCUUCACGGGCUUAAGUUUCAUGAUCGUCAUACUUUGAUGCAAUAACUACUACCAUUGACAAUUUAAAAUUGUUUGGUUGAAAAUGUUAGAUUUGUCAUAAUCAAGUUGUGCCUCUUUUUUAAUUCUUUGUGUUCCAUAGUAAUAUAACUUGAUUCUCUCAGCCUCUCAACCAAUUGCAAGAGGAACUUCUAACUUGUCAAUUAUGUGAAUUGCAAAGAUGUAAUAUUUGAAUUGCUUGCUGCUUAAUGCUUGGAAUUUGCAAUAUCUAUAUUUAUAGUAGCUAGGGAUGAGGGGAAGUACUUUGUAUGCUUAAGAUAAUCGCAUGCACUUUACUUGGCAUAUGUAUUAUAGGUAAAAGCUACAUAACUAUGUCCAGAUUUUAUCCUACUAUAGUUUUAAAUGGAGUGGGCAGAUUCAUUACUUCAACAUAAUCUAUCAAUAUUUUGUUGAAUGCAUUCAAGAUGUUGUUUGGCAAAAUUGAUGCUAAUUUUUAGUGUGUUCUGCUUGCAUUUAAGGACUUUAGUGCAAACCAGAACGACCGCAGUUGUUGGAUGUAGAAAUGGAAGUCGUAUGAAG